rnacentral:rRNA from 1 species
GCCCCAGUAACGGCGAGCGAAGCGGCAACAGCCCAAAUUUGAAAUCUGGCCCCAUUGGGGUCCGAGUUGUAAUUUGGAGAGGAUGCUUCGGCGACGGCCCCGGGGCAAGUUCCCUGGAACCGGAUGCCGCAGAGGGUGAGAGCCCCGUACCCGCCCGGGUGCCCGCCGCUAGACGAAGCGCCUUCGACGAGUCGAGUUGUUUGGGAAUGCAGCUCAAAGCGGGAGGUAAAUUUCUUCUAAGGCUAAAUACCGGCCAGAGACCGAUAGCGCACAAGUAGAGUGAUCGAAAGAUGAAAAGCACUUUGGAAAGAGAGUCAAACAGCACGUGAAAUUGUUGAAAGGGAAGCUCUUGCUGCCAGACGUGCCGUGGGCGCUCAGCCCCCCCGCUGGGGGGUGUACUCGCCCGCGGCGGGCCAGCGUCAGUUCCGGCGGCCGGAUAAAGGCUCGGGGAACGUAGCCCCUUUCGGGGGGUGUUAUAGCCCCGGGCGCCAUGCGGCCCGCCGGAACUGAGGCCUGCGUUCGCUUGGACGCUGGCGUAAUGGUCGCAAGCGACCCGUCUUGAAACACGGACCAAGGAGUCUAACAUCUGUGCGAGUGUGUGGGUGGCAAGCCCAUGCGCGGAAUGAAAGUGAACGGAGGUGGGACCCCGCGCGGGCGCACCAUCGACCGAUCCUGAUGUCCUCGGAUGGAUUUGAGUAGGAGCAUAGCUGUUGGGACCCGAAAGAUGGUGAACUAUGCGUGUUUAGGGUGAAGCCAGAGGAAACUCUGGUGGAGGCUCGCAGCGGUUCUGACGUGCAAAUCGAUCGUCAAAAAUGCGUAUAGGGGCGA